AUGCAAGCCUCAUCCAACGAAUGGGGGAAAUCACCAAGAAGACUCAACUUGCCUGACCCUUCAAAACACUGGUAAAUCUCUCUCUCUCCUGCUCGCUCUCUAUUUUCUUCCCACCAUCUCCAUCUUUUUCUUUCUCUUUCUCUCUGUUUCUGCCCUCUUUUAAAAAUCUCUCUCUGAAACUUGACAUUAUGCUUCAGGACCAUGGAGAGCAUUCUACACUGCUAGAUGCAUAUUUUUCACAAAGGGCAUAAAGAACACUUCUCAAUCUGCUAAGUGUGUCUCAGAGAAGGAAAACAACAUCAACAUCAUCAUUAUCAUCAUCAUUAUCACCAUCUUGUUUGUAAAUUCUAGUCAAAUGAAGGCUUGAUGAUGAAAUUUCAGAUGUGGGAAAGGUCAUGCAAAAAGUGACAGAUGGCUCAUGUGUAAAAAUGGCCUGCACAGAAGCUUCUAAGAAGCUUCUAAGUGUCCUUUUCUAAAAUGCUGAUAUUUCGCGGAACAAUAGGUAUUGCAUACAGUGGUGCCAUUGGCUGUUGAGAUGACAGGUGACAAAAUUUGGGAUGAGGAUGUUCCUGUUUGGCUGAUUCUAGCAUAAUUUACUGUUCUAAGGGAAUUAGGAAGCACUGAUGGCAAAAUGAUGAAAGGCAGAGGAGAAAUGAAUUCUAGGCAGAUCAUUGAGAAGUGUAAAUGUUUAUGGUGCUGGGUAUAGAAAUAUGGCAGUACCAUUUAACCUAAUCCUGAGAGGUAUUUUUUACUAUGUCUUUGGUCUUGGAAGUUCAUCAGUUCACAUAUUCACUUUAUUUGUAUUAUGCCAUGAUGAAGGAACAUUACGUUGAAUAUGGUCAAGGGUGCUUUAAUAUGUCAUAUAUUCUAGCAUCUAACUUGAGGAUGAAUCACAUCCCAGUGCGGACUUUUGAUAAGACUUGGCUUAUGUUAAGCUUAAGUGCAGUAAGGAAGCAUGUUGAAUCCUUGUCUACAUAUGAUAUAACUUGUUCUUACGUGAUAGUCCCAUUUGUGAGGAGAUACUAUUCUGGAAAUGAGUAGGGUGUUGGGUUGACUAAGGAAAUCUGGAUUCAAGCCUCACAAGAUUUGUGAAUGAGAGCUUUUCUUGGAGAAGUCAUGUGAAAUGGGAAGGAUUAUAACACAAUAACUAUGAUCCAAAUGCAUGUAGCUGAUACUGUCCCCGCAUUCACUGCAAAUCUUUAGAUUGAGGUCCAAUGACAUGAAAAUUCUGUCAACAGUGUUGGAUCAUUUCACAUGCAAAACUUUUUGUCACUGGCUGAUGAGCAUUCAGAUAUGCAAACAUACAAUGACCCUUGAUUUCAAAGGAGUUAGACCUUGGCAGUCUCUUAUUUGAUGAUAUUUGAAGAAGCAUUUGGUGACUAAGUGUCCCUGUGCAGUCCCUGAAAUGGUUCUUCAAAAACGUUCCCUCUCUAAGAAUUUUAAAGAUAAAAGAGAGAGAAAUUCCUGACUUAGCACAGCUUUGAAGUCCAGUGCUGUCAUCCUGUAAGCCUUUGCUAAUGUUAGAACUUUUGAGGUACAAACCACAAGUUUUCCAACCCAUUUGAACUUCCAGGUUCCUUGGAGAGAGUAGAAGGCUUUCUUCAGGUUUUGAAUGUAGAGGAGAGGGCAAGAGUCAGAUAAAUUCAAGAGUCUGCAUUGAUAGGGAAUCAUGUGAUAAUGUGUGCGUGAAUGUGCCAAGAAAGCACUGAAAGAUGGGGGAUGAUGCUGCUUCUAUCCAGAAAUUAUUUUCCUUCUCAUUUCUUGCAAAACUAUAUGGCAUCAGACUUACUGCAAUAUUUUUACUCUCAGAAUACAGUUUCUAAAUAAGCUUUAAAACCUGUAUCAGCCUAUUAGGAAAAUAACCAAAGCAUUCAUCACAUAUACUUUUAUUAGGUCUUCCUGAAUGUAGCAGGUCAGUUUUUUACUUUCAUAUAUUUCUCCUUAAUGUUAAAUAUUAACACCACACUAAAAAAAAAGGAAAGCAAGGAAAUGAUGCUAAAAGGCAUGCUUUUAAAAAAUCCAGGAUGCAUUUUUUUCCACUCAAAAUGGAAUAUAGGAAGUUGUCCUCUUCCACCCCAGAUUAUUUGACCUUCUACUUCUCUCUUCACACACAGUCCAAUAACUGACUCCUGAUUGCUGUAUCUGAAAAUACCAGAAUCUUUUGCAUGCAAAGCAAGUUCUUUGCCUUAAAAGUUAUGGUGUUCCUUUCCCUAGAAACAAGAGAAAGGGAGGUUGCUUGGUAAAUUCCAUAGGGUGUUCCAAGUUUGUUGCACAAAGAGCUUGGGGUGCAGAAAGCCAUUGUUGGACUAAGUGUCUUCAACCCUGAUCCUUUCCUUUUCAACAAGGAUGCAGUUUUAACAAAUCGGAGCACGUACAAAUAACUAAUAAGGCCCUGUUAAACCAGAAAGAUCUUGAUCAAGACUCUCUCCAUUAAUGAUUUGGAGCUUCCAAACUGAGUUUUCUUUUUGGCUGCUUCUGAUCAUUCCUCCCAGGAAAAUGAGAGUUAUAAUGCUGUUGGCUCCUGGCAAAUGAUUGAUCUCAUCACACUCAGAAACAAACUCCCUAUCUUCUGGGAAUUAAGAUACAGAAUGUUGCAAUGCAGAAAGCACCCUAUGUUGAAUAGCAACAAUAAUUGAUGGAUCCAACAGUGAGUAGCAUCACUAGGUUUGGUGUCACCCGGUAUGGUCGACAUGGUGUCACCCAAGUGGACAUUCUCUUAGACCAAAUCAGACCACAAUAUUUAGCUAAAAUGCCCCGCAAAAUUUUGGACAGGAUCAGUGGCUAUAAAAAAAUAGUAGUGAUGAAAACAAGAGCACGUUACUUGUAUCACAUGCAGAUAAAAACACAUGAUUUAAAAUAUCAUGGUAACUGAGUACUAAUGACAGCUCUGACCGAAGCACAUGAGCAUUAGAAGGUUCAAGAGGAAAUUAGCAUAGAUUUUUAGCCUUGUAGUUAUAUCAAUAUAGUACAUGUAAGGUGAGCUUAUGAAAAUGUUUUUGGAGUUCAAACUACAAGCAUAUCUUGAUUAAAAACUUAUAAAUUUCUGCUGAAACACUGCACAAAUUUUAUAGACAGUUAUGUUGGUGUCACCCCCUGUGAGUGCAGUCAGCAACUCCUCUAGUGAUGCUUCUGCUGAAAGUGAUGAUAUUUCCUGGUGGCUAUUGCUCAGCCAUGGAAAGAUAGGAAGCUGCCUUGUUCUCAGUCUGUUUUUCGGUUCUGCGUGUCUAGUCCAACUGGGUUGGCUACUGUAAGUGACAGCAGCUCUACAAGGAGAUCUGUUCCAUCAGCUGCUUCUUGGUUGCAGGAAAUGCUUGAGAGCAUAACCUCGGGCUUUUUUCUAGGCUGAACAGAUCUUCUAUCACAGAUCUAUGGUCUUUCCCAUAGGCACUCUCUCUCCAUAAAUCUUGUGAAAGGCUUUGGGCUUUUGCAAAGCAAGUGUUCCAACCAUGCACCAAUUUCCAAAAUAACAAAAAGUUAAAAAAAAAAAAACAGCAAAAGAAAGAGUAACCUGUUCCACUUAGAAAGUGCUGUUAGUUCCAAUUAUCUGCCCCAUCUUUGCACAUGUAAGAUGAGUUGAGGCGAAGGAUGAACUUAGAUGAUAACUGUGAUUAUGUUGUCAAAUGUUGGGUCCUCCCAGCACACAAUAAUUUCCAAUCUGUUCCAGUAAAACAUGCAGAGGUCAAAGGCAGGAACACAAAAUGAUUUAUUCAGCUCUGGGCAGAUCAGACACUGGGGGCAAACAGUUCCCAAAUCCAGAUUGGUUUCAAUGUACAAGCAUAGACAUUAUAUAGAAAAACAGGCACAUCUGGUAACAUGACAAACAGGUGAACCUUCUAGAAUCUGCAGCAUCAUUGGGCAAAGGGGCUUGCCCGCUCCUGGCUGCUGAUUGGCUAGAAGUUUAAAUGUCAGUGAAUCUUGGAUGUGGAUUGACUGAGUGGUCUGUUAGGAAAUAUAAUAAACUGUCAUUGGUUACAUUUGCUGUCCAUUUGUGUCCACUUUCUGGAGGUUGGGAAGGAAUAUGGACUGGGUUUACUCCCAGUGGUGUAGGUCCUAGGAGAUUGACAGACAAUGGGUGGCUGGCAGUCUUGAUGGGUUAUAGAAUUAGGACAAAGGGUGGUGAGUGAAGUUUAAUGGAUUUCUACCCAUGGUCAUGGUUUGAGUCCUUUGUGAGGUGAGUAAGUUGGCAGGGUGCUGCUCCCCGCUCAUUGUGAGAGUGCAAGUCAUAAAUGUGUAUAAAUUGUGCCUACUUAACUUAUGAAUGGGCAAGGUGUGGGAAAGAGGAUCUACAUGAGUUUCAAGGAGUACCAAAAAUUGAGACAGGGAGAACUUUCCAGAUCAUCUAGACUGACCCUUAUAGAAUCUCCAAUUUGAUCAGGGGUUGAUAACAAUUGGAAAUACCAGUUGUCUGCAAAGUUACAGAAUACCGAAUAUUGAAAAAUAGUUGAAAUACACUGUCAACAAUCCCCUGUCAACCUGAGCUUUUUCACCUCUGUGUGAGAGCAGGAAAACAGUACCCCCCCCCCAAUUAAUGGAUUAAAAAAGAGUCUGAUCACAAUAUGAUAGAUUCUGCACUAAAAAUAAGUCAACAGUGGUUUAGCACAGAAGUCUUGACCUGCAAAAAUACAAACAAAGGUUUAUUCAUUGGACAGAAAGCUUUGAAAAUGUCCAUUCUUGUGUUAAGAACAAAAUAAGCAAACAUUUACAUUUCUGUAAAUGGGCUGUUAAUCAAUUAAUUCAGUUUCUGAUGCUUGAUAGCCUAUGCUAUCUUGGAGGAUUGCAAUAAGGAUUAAAAGGGACCUAAAUAUUUUACAGGGAUAGUCCUUGAUGGAGGCAUCAUCUAUUUGAAAUCUGGCUCAAAAAUAGACAGAUACAGUAGAGUCUCACUUAUCCAACAUAAACGGGCCUGCAGAACGUUUGGAUAAGCGAAUAUCUUGGAUAAUAAGGAGAGAUUAAGGAAUAGCCUAUUAAACAUCAAAUUAGGUUAUGAUUUUACAAAUUAAGCACCAAAACAUCAUGUUAUACAACAAAUUUGACAGAAAAAGUAGUUCAAUACGCAGUAAUGUUAUGUAGUAAUUACUGUAUUUAUGAAUUUAGCACCAAAAUAUCAUGAUGUAUUGUAAACAUUGACUACAAAAAUGCGUUGGAUAAUCCAGAAUGUUGGAUAAGUGAGACUCUACUGUAACAAGAAAAGGCAAAGAUGUUGGAGCUACUCGACAACAAUGAGCACCUAGAUUCGCCAAGCAAAUGGGUCACCUGCUCACAUCUUUGGAAAGCUGUGUUGUAUUUCAGUAUUAAAUUAUAGCUCUCCUUUCAAAAUUAGCAUCUGUUCAUGCAAAACAGAAUGUGGUGACUCUGUGCAAAUUGGUCUCUUCUUUUGUCCCCUCUUUUCGGCACGUAUACAUGGUCAUCCUGGUCUAGAGUCAUGUCAAUCCAUUAUGCUCCCUCUUCCCUUGUUGCUCCCCAAUAGGAUGAAUCCCAUCUCUCAGCCUCCUUUUUUCCCUCAGAUCCACCAGUAUAAUUUUGCCCUUUAAGUUGACGUGAAUCCUUUUAAAAUGCAUCUCACAUUUUCCCGCUGUGAAGGUGCAAGCACUAGAAGCAAUUAAUCAAGGCAUCAGUGCUGUUGAGUUGCUUUUCUCAGAUCAGCUGGGCUGGUGGAAGUGGGCCUGGGUAGCUGGGUGUCACUGCAGUUCUUUAAGUAGACUGACCUUUGCACCAAUAGUGUGUUACAUUUGACUGGAGGCUCAGGUAAAGAAAUUGUCUUGCCAUGGGUAGUACUGUUAUUAUCAUCAUCAUAACACCACCAGAAAAUGAACUUUCAUGGA
rnacentral:lncRNA from 1 species